CGCGGGGUGGAGCAGUUCGGUAGCUCGUCGGGCUCAUAACCCGGAGGUCGUAGGUUCGAAUCCUACCCCCGCAA
rnacentral:tRNA from 1 species